UUUUUAUUUUAUAUUUUAAACAUUGAUUUUAUUUUUUAUGUUUUUAGAUGUUCAUUUUUUUGAAUGUUUAAUUCAAAUAAUAUAAAAAAUAAAAUAUAUAUUGACAUGGAUUAAACAAACAUAUAUAUUAUUCUAUGUUGCAUAAACAAAUUGGCAAAAUAGAGAUGGAAGAUAAAAAUAU
rnacentral:misc_RNA from 1 species